CUCCUGUUAGCUCAAUUGGUAGAGCGCACGACUCUUAAUCGUGAGGUUGCGGGUCCGAGUCCCGCAUGGGAGG